UAGCUCAGUUGGUAGAGCACCUGACUCUUAAUCAGGGUGUCCAGGGUUCGAGUCCCUGAU
rnacentral:tRNA from 1 species